UCCAAAAGUUGAGAAUUUUAGAGAAGCCUUACUAGCUGGUUGUUCAUCAUUAUUCCCUUGAUGUGCCAUCUAAUUUUCAAGGUUCUUUGGAAUUAAAGAGCCAAUCCUUCUUCAUUGAAGGGGAUUAGAGUAAUAAGUAGCUUUGCAAGUUGGUGUUUUAUUGUGUUAUGUGUGUUCUUUGGCAUGAACCUUUGAGCUUGUAACCUUUGAACUUGCAACCUUUGAGUUUGAGGAGAGCCAUUGAGUAAAAGCAAGGCUUUGGAGGAGCUUGACUACAUUUUGGGUUUUCUUUGAAGGUCUCCAUGACUGACUUGUAGAGGCAGCGUGAUUGACCAUUACUUUACCCAUAUCAAGAGGCUCGUAGAGAGCUUAAAUGGGACAAAUACUGGCUGAGACACUCAGGGUCACCACAUGAGUCUCUCAGAGGCCAACGCCAAGGAGGGUUAUCUCAUCAAUUUUAUUACACUUAAAACUAACCUUGGCGGGUUCGAAACCCUAAUUGCGGCCACAAUUAAGGUUGAAUAGAGCAUGCAAUCAAUCUUUGUGCUGGGAAGCUGCUUAUGUGUUGUCUUUUGUGUUGUAGGUCUGUACACACUAUUUUGGAGCAUGUUGUGUAUUUUGUGUCCUUGUAUAGACUGGAUCCAUUGGGUUGUAUAAUUUGAUAUCUAUACCACGUUGUUUACUCGUAUUUUGUUCUAUGACUAUA